AGCGAACGCUGGCGGCGUGCUUAACACAUGCAAGUCGAGCGAAGGUGUUUCAAGGGUAACCUUGAGAUACACUUAGCGGCGGACGGGUGAGUAAUACGUGGAUAACUUACCUCUAGGCCUGGGAUAACCCCGGGAACGUGGGCGUAAUACCUGAUAAGACCACAUUGUCUACGGACAAAGGGGUAAAAGGUAGGCUGUGCAAACAGCUAUCGCCAAAAGAUAGGUUCACGUCCCAUCAGGC
rnacentral:rRNA from 1 species